AUAGUAGGUCGGUGGAGAAUAGCAUUCAACAUCCCCCACAUGAUCCUGCGUAUAGUUACAUGGGUCUAUCGAGUCAGCAGUCACAGGGCCAUGUGGUGAUACGCUCGUCAUCUGCUCCAUUUUCUUCAUCACCAGCUUGAUCAUAUCCAUCUAGAUUUCAGCCAGCCGGAUCGCAGCAGGGGUCUAGAUCAUUGCAGAGGUGUGGAUCGCAGCCAUCUUCAUCAGCGACAUUGUCUCCCUCUCCACGGAGUUCGUCUCCUAGCAUUUCUAGAUUUCGCCUUCGGGAUAGUAGCGCUGAGCCAGAUGGCCCCCUUCUACGCACGCUUCAGAUUCAUCGGAGGAUAAUGAUCCAGAGGAAGUGCGGUAUGAUCGUUAUCAUAGGAUGAUCAUCAGGCCUGAGGGCAAUGGACUAAGUGUGCCUAGGAGGACCGAUAUAACAGUGAAAUUCUUGCAAAUUUUGUGUUCAAAUACCGUACGAGACAAUCUGAUUCCUUCAGCUCUUCUCAAAGAAGAGCAAGAAGCCUUCAUGGGUUCUACCGCAUAUAUGGGGGGAUCUGCUGAGGCAGUGGACCACCGAGAAAUUCAAGAAGAGGAGUGAACAGGGAAAGAAGGCUCGAGCAUCUGAGAAGGGUGGCUCCUUGCAUUGUGUGGGUGCAAGAAGCAUGGGGACUGCGAGAAGACUACUGGAAAAGAAAUAUGGGAGGAAGAUGACUCAUGAUGAGUUC